AAAAAGAGAAAGGAUUCCAGGCUCUGUGUCAACUCCAAAUGUGAGGUGUCAAACUACUUUUGUCCCAGCAGGAAGGAAAUUGCAUAUCGAAUUCUAGUGGGUGAGUUCUGAGCGUGUAUCAUCCACCUUUCGGAGUCCUGCUCAGCAGAGCACGUUAACAGCUUUCAUUGAAACCAGGACUGCUGGAGAAAGCUCUUGGGGCAUCAGGAGCAUGGAGGCCAUUGAGCUGCUCCACCAGAGAUUCGGGUGGGCACAGCGUGGCUUUGCUUGGAGCUUUAGUUCAUUAGCUGGAGACCCCAUUUGUGAGUAGCUAAGCUAUUCUGAUUCCUUGGAAGAACUAGAGAACUUCUGUUAGAGUAAGUGACCAGUCAAAUUUAUAA